rnacentral:lncRNA from 1 species
ACGAUUUCUACACCUUGAGUCCAAGCUGCUGGUUAUCUCGCCUCCCAUCAGCUUGCGAGCAGGUGCUAAAGAAAAUAUCAAUCAUGACAGCAGCCUCAGUCACCUCUAAAAGCCUCAAACAUCUCUAGUAAAUUCCUCCCCUAAUUGCAAUGCAUUCCAAAAAGAAGAGCAGCCUAGAAUCAUGAUAUUUUCCCACAUAUACAGCCACAAUCUUCUCC